GGGGGCGUACCGGUUUCGACGGGGUUUUUGCACCAUAGUAAGCGAGUAGAGGUCUGCUGCAUCUCUUUAAACUGCGGCACGUUUAAAUAUAAACGCUAACAACAAGAUUACUGUAAGCUCUCGCAGCCUGCAGGUUGCUGCUUAAGUCAGCAUCUGUCCUGUAACUGAGGACCACGGCUCUUACAGGGCAUCGAUGAGUGGUGAACGUUCCGGCGGCAUGUCCACACCGCAGGAAUGUAUUUGGACUACCUUCACUUCCAGCCUGUUUACCGGCGGGUCGUGCGGGGAAUCUUAAAAGAUAAACUACACUCGUAGAAAGCUGUGGGAAUAGGGCUUCGGACAAGGGUUCAAUUCCCUUCGCCUCCACCA
rnacentral:tmRNA from 1 species